ACUCAAAUGAGGCUCUGUAAUUGGAAUGAGUACAAUCUAAAUCCUUUAACGAGUACCAAUUGGAGGGCAAGUCUGGUGCCAGCAGCCGCGGUAAUUCCAGCUCCAAUAGCGUAUAUUAAAUUUGUUGCAGUUAAAAAGCUCGUAGUUGGAUCUCAGGUGAGGUGUGUCGGUGUGUUCAAUGAGCAUCACCGUUCAUGUCUGCCUUUCUCAGUCGUUUGUCCUCUCAUGGUUCUCUUAACUGAGUGCUAUAAGAGGCUCGACACGUUUACCUUGAAAAAAUCAGAGUGCUCAAAGCAGGCCUUUGCGCUUGUAUGUUGUUGCAUGGAAUAAUGGAAUAGGACUUCGGUUCUAUUUUGUUGGUUUUCGGUGCCGAAGUAAUGAACAAUAGAGACAGACGGGGGCAUUUCUAUGGCUGUGAUAGAGGUGAAAUUCUGAGACCGCAGCCAGAGAAACUACUGCGAAAGCAUUUGCCAAGCAUGUCUUCAUUAAUCAAGAACGAAAGUCAGAGGUUCGAAGACGAUCAGAUACCGUCCUAGUUCUGACCUUAAACGAUGCCGUCCGAUAAUCAGGAGUGGUUAUAUUUUAUUAAUCCUCCUGGCUGUCCCUGGGAAACCUUAGAUAGGUUCUGGGGGGAAUAUGGUCGCAAGGUUGGAACUUAAAGGAAUUGACGGAAGGGCACCACCAGGAGUGGAGCCUGCGGCUUAAUUUGACCCAACACGGGGAAACUCACCCGGUCCGGACACUGUGAGGAUUGACAGAUUGAUAGCUCUUUCUUGAUUCAGUGGGUGGUGGUGCAUGGCCGUUCUUAGUUGGUGGAGUGAUUUGUCUGGUUAAUUCCGAUAACGAACGAGACUCUAUCCUGCUAAAUAGUUUGGUGGCAUCGGUCGCUUCGGUGACUAAAGCUGCUAAAACUUCUUAGAGGGAUUCGCGGUAUUUAAACCGCACGAAAGAGAGCAAUAACAGGUCUGUGAUGCCCUUAGAUGUCCGGGGCCGCACGCGCGCUACAUUGACAGUAUCAGAAAGUAAUACCACCUAGCUAGAGAUAGUUGGGAAAUCUUUGAAUUACUGUCUCCACAGGGAUUGAGGUUUGUAACUAUCCCUCAUGAACGAGGAAUUCCCAGUAGGCGUAAGUCAUCAGCUUACGUCGAUUACGUCCCUGCCCUUUGUACACACCGCCCGUCGCUACUACCGAUUGAGUGGAUUAGUGAGGCCCUCAGAUUGAGGCUUUGAUGGCGAAAGUCACUAAGGUCUCGAAAAGUGGGUCAAACUUGUUCAUUUAGAGGAAGUAAAAGUC
rnacentral:rRNA from 1 species